UACGAAGGGUGCUAGCGUUGUUCGGAAUCACUGGGCGUAAAGCGUGCGCAGGCGGCUAUGUAAGUCAGGGGUGAAAUGCCUGGGCUCAACCCAGGAACUGCCUUUGAAACUGCGUAGCUAGAGUCUCGGAGGGGUUAGGGGAAUUCCUAAUGUAGCGGUGAAAUGCGUAGAUAUUAGGAGGAACACCAGUGGCGAAGGCGCCUAACUGGACGAGUACUGACGCUCAUGCACGAAAGCGUGGGGAUCAAACAGG
rnacentral:rRNA from 1 species